ACUUUUUUUUUUUAUAAUUUUUUUAUUUUCCCACUGUACAGCAAGGGGGUCAGGUUAUCCUUACAUGUAUACAUUACAAUUACAUUUUUCCCCCACCCUUUCUUCUGUUGCAACAUGAGUGUCUGGACAUAGUUCUCAAUGCUAUUCAGCAGGAUCUCCUUGUAAAUCUAUUCUAAGUUGUGUCUGAUAAGCCCAAGCUCCCAAUCCCUCCCACUCCCUCCCCCUCCCAUCAGGCAGCCACAAGUCUCUUCUCCAAGUCCAUGAUUUUCUUUUCUGAGGAGAUGUUCAUUUGUGCUGGAUAUUAGAUUCCAGUUAUAAGUGAUAUCAUAUGGUAUUUGUCUUUGUCUUUCUGGCUCAUUUCACUCAGUAUGAGACUCUCUAGUUCCAUCCAUGUUGCUGCAAAUGGCAUUAUGUCAUUCUUUUUUAUGGCUGAGUAGUAUUCCAUUGUGUAUAUAUACCACAUCUUCUGAAUCCAAUCAUAUGUUGAUAGACAUUUGGGUUGUUUCCAUGUCCUGGCUAUGCAAUGAACAUGCGGGUGGAUGUGUCUCUUUUAAGUAGAGUUUUGUCCGGAUAGAUGCCCAAGAGUGGGAUUGUGGGGUCAUAUGGAAGUUCUAUGUAUAGAUUUCUAAGGUAUCUCCAAACUGUUCUCCAUAGUGGCUGUGACAGUUUACAUUCCCACCAGCAGUGCAGGAGGGUUCCCUUUUCUCCACAACUCCUCCAGCACUUGUUAUUUGUGGAUUUAUUAAUGAUGGCCAUUCUGACUGGUGUGAGGUAGUAUCUCAUGGUAGUUUUGAUUUGCAUUUCUCUUAUAAUCAGCAAUGUUGAGCAUUUUUUCAUGUGUUUGUUGGCCAUCUGUAUAUCUUGAAAGAAGCUUUUGAUAAUUUUAUUAGGGAUGGCUAUUUCUGGACCAGCAGAAAAAAAGGUAAAGGGAAGGGAUUAUAUUUGCUAAGUGCCUACUAUGUGCCAGGCAGGAGGCAUGUAUCAAAUUAUUUAAUUCUUAAAACAGCACAGACAUAGAGACACUAUCACCCUCAUUUUAUGUUUGUUUGUUUGGGUCUUUUUGUCUUUUAGGGCUGCACCCACAGCUUAUGGAAGUUCCCGGGCCACGGGUCGAAUUAGAACUACAGCUGCUGGCCUACACCAGAGUCACAGCAAUGCGGGAUCUGAGCCACGUCUGCAACAUACAGCACAGCUCAUGGUAACACCAGAUCGUUAACCUACUGAGCAAGGCCAGGAAUGAACCUGCGUCCUCAUGGAUGCUAACCGCUGAGCCACGAAGGGAACGCUCUUAUAUAUUUUUUAAAAAAAUUCAAAGAAGUUAAAUAAAUUGACCAAAGUCACCCAGAUAAUAAGUAGAAAAGCUAGAAAUGAAAUUCAGGUUGGCCUGGCCUAAAAGUCAGUCAUCUUUUCAAGGCAGCAGUAAGAAAUAUUUCCAGAGAGCUUGAGAAAAUAGCUCCAAGAAUUCUAACUUCUGGAUCUAGUGUUUUGUUUCCAGGUAACGUGAGAAACAUUUUCCAAUUGCCUGACUACUUCAUAAUAGAGGAAAUGAAAACAAAUUGCACUACUUGGCCUUUAUUGUGUGUUUCAUAAGAGAGGCAGGAGAGAGGGUUUUAUUCUAGGAAAAAAAGAAUGUACUAUAUUCCAAGUCAAGAUGUGUCUAUAAAGGGUAAAUGAUUUGGCCUUUUAGGUGAGAGCCAAUGCAUGUGAAAAACAUUUUGCAAUUUGAUUCCCGCUGACCAAUGGUCACUGCUCAAACGUUCUCCUCCCUCUCCUCACAUCUCUGUGUCUGUCUACCUGUUGCCUUUUUAUGGAUAUUUCACUGUCAAAACCAGCUUGGUAUUCACCAUUUUAGCUGCACUUCCUCCAGCCCCCAUCUCUGUCAUAAUGGGAGAGAACGUCCCCUCCAGACCUCUGCCAUUUGCUCAGGAGAUGAAAACAACCAUCCUCAAGGCCCUUUCUUAGCUCCCCUGCCCUGUCCACUCCCUGUUUCACCACCUUCAGGCAGCUUCCAGCCUAAGAGCAAGACACUGUCUUUUUCUCUAAGCCUCUCAGCUGUCAUCUCUAUCUCCAGCUGGUAUCACCAUGGUGAAAAGAAAUCUCGAUCGAAACUCAAGAGGGGACGGAACACCACUUAUUAAGCAGGAAUCUAUGAAUAUUGAUUUGGGAUUGUCCAAGAUGGUUUUAUCCGUCAAGAUCAAGAAAUGAAGUGUUGGAGUCAACCAGCUUUUUCUUAUAAUUAGUUAUCACUUGUCAUAUACAUAUCAGACCCAUUUUCAAAGAGGCAGAAGGUAAAUAUGGUUUUGUUUGUUUUGUUUUGUUUUUGCUUUUUAGGGCUGUACCUGCAGCAUACGGCAGUUUCCAGACUAGGGGUCGAAUCAGAGCUGCAGCUGCCAGCCACACCCAUAGCCACAGCAAUGCCAGAUCUGAGCCAUUGUCUGUGACCUACACCACAACUCAUGGCAGCACUGGAUCCUUAAGCCACUGAGGAAGGCCAGGGAUCAAACCCGAAUCCUCAUGGAUACUAGUCAGAUUCAUUACCACUGAGCCAUCAUAGGAACUCCACACAUUCCUUUUUAAAAUAUAUAUAUUCCUUUCCAUUCCAUAAUGGUUUAUCAUAGGAAACUCCAUAAACAGACUUUUGUGAAUUUUUUUUUUCUAUGUUUGCCUCCGGAUUUAUUUUAUGGCCUUCUCUGCCUUGCUAUGAGAUCCAAGAUGCCAAACUCUAUCUAAAAAGUGACAUCACUCAGCCUUUCUAGCUUCUGGCUCCAGUUGUGUGCAGCUGUUCAGAAGCAUCAACGGGAGAUGCUAGGGAAGAAGAAAAGGGUUGAGGGUAUUGCCCGUGCAUCUCCCAGGACUCUGGUCCUCACUGGGCUGCAGUAACUUGUUCCCUUUGCCCCACAGUCCCAGGAGGUGGGAACAGCUUCCCACUAUUGCUAAGCCCUGGGUGCUUCUACCUCCAUCACUGGUUCCUUUAACAUAGUCCCUCUUCCAUAAAUAGCCCCUUCAUUAAACACAAUUCAGCUAACCCUUCGAGAAGGGCACUUCCCUCCUCUAGAACCCUAACUGACAUCACUUCAGUUGCCCUCUGUAUUUAGUGAGUGGUUACUCUGUGCUCUUCUAAGAACUAUGACAAAUGCAAAAGAAAAAUUCAAGACAUGCUGCUGGUCCCUGCCAUGCUUGAAAAUCCAGUUAGGGACAUGAAACUAUCAAAAGGCUAUCAUACUUGGACUCUCAAUGGAGGCAGUAUCUCCAAAGGCCUAAACUCAUCCCAUGCCUCUCCCUACCCUCAAACCUGCACCAGAACACACCAGUCCUUAGUCCCGUUCACUUAGGGCCAGGGCAGUCAUCUAGGACAUUGUGGCCAGCUGUGUGGCUCUGCACUUACAGAUCAGCUCUGGACACCUUUUGCCCCGCCCCUCCAUGCCCACUUUAUCAUGAAGUCCUGCAGAUUCUCCUUCUUACAAUCUCUCAAACUCAUCCAACAUCUCGUUAGUGCCUCCAACCUACUCUAGUUGAAUCUGGGGUUAUUUCUCAUCCCAAUGUUUAUAAGAACCUUCUCAAUGCUCCCCUAGACUCUGGUCUUGCCUCCCCUUCCUUCCAGGCCAUGCUUCACCAUGAGGCCAGAGGGAUCUCUGUUACAUUGUUCCACUGCUCCAGACCCUCCCUGGAUAAAGUCUAAACACAAUAAUGGCUUCACUCUGACUGCGACAACCUUUGUGGACUCUUGACAUAGUCUUCCCAUAGACUGCUCCAAAGAGACUGACUUCUUCCAGUUCUUUAAUGGAACUGGGUUUUUUCCUUGCUUCGUACCCAGACUUACACUAUUUCCUCUGCCAAGAAUCCAUUCACUGCCUCCCUACCCCAACCUUUUGCCUGGUUAACUUCUAUUUUAUGAUUCAAAUCUCAGCACGAACAUCACUUCCUUGGACAAUCGACCCCUGUUGCCCCCAUCUUCCCCCUCCAAGACCAGACUUUUGGGUUAGGUACUUUUCUUAUAAGGCAGCUCCCACAGCAUCCUUUACUUCCCUCAUCACUCUGUUAUAGUGUUGUUGUUGUUUCUCUCUCUCUCUUUUUUUGUCUUUCUAGGACCACACCCGCGGCAUAUGGAGGUUUCCAGACUAGGGGUCUAAUGGGAGCUAUAGCCGUCCAGUCUACGCCACAGCCACAGCAACUCGGGAUCCAAGCCGUGUCUGUGACCUACAUCACAGCUCACGGCAACACCAGAUCCUUAACCCACUGAGAAAGGCCAGGGAUUGAACCCACAAUCCUCAUGGAUGACAGCUGGGUUCAUUAACUGCUGAACCAUGAUAGGAACUCCUACAGUGUUGUUUCGUAACUGCUGGCACGCUUGUACCUAUUCCCAACCUGAUGGUAAGCUGUGUCCAGGCAAGAAAUCUGUCACUGUGGCAGCCACAGCAUCAAAACUAUCUAUUGAAAAAGUGAAAUUAAGAAAAGGAAAGAAAUCUUAACCCAGUUUAAUGGACUGGCAAUGCUAAAAUUCCUAUUCUGGUAUUAUUCAGAAACAGAGGGAGUAUCUGUCAGCAGACACAGGCCCUGUAUGCCCAACUAGUUGUGUCUGCAGCUGUCUGUGCCCCAAACCCAUCCUCUACUAAGAAAGUAAAAUUCCACACAUGCAUCAAUGGAAGGGACAACAGGAACUGCUCUGUGAAACUUCCUCUCUCCCUUGUCCCCUUGGCCUGUAGGGGAUGGUUACUUGAAUAGAGAACUUCCGCCUGAUAGCUUGGGGUUAUUUUCAGAGGCUUCAUUAUCACAGCUGGAAAAUCCUGGGGCAGCUUUUGCAAACCAAAUGGAGUUCAAUUAUUCCAUCAAGAGCAAAGGAUCAAGACUACAAACAAUACUGAGAGUCAACGUUAGCAGAAAUCUCUCAGCACCCAGUUGAGUCCAACAUCUUGAAAUGCUCUUAGAAGAGGGGAAACUGAGACUUUCCUGGAAAGGUGUUUAGAGGUGUAGAUAACAGAAGAAAAUGACC
rnacentral:lncRNA from 1 species